AUGGGGUUUCUCUUCUCAUUUCUUCUUCAUCUACCUAAUGGUUUUCAAAUGUGUGCAGAAGCUUACAUAAGUGUCACCUGGGGAUCUUGUUCAAUGCAUGCUCACCUUGCCCUACUUGAAUGAGCCCCUACUAUUUUUCUGACUUUAUCUCCCAUCACUCCCUUGUGCCUACAUCGCUCCAGCCACACUGGUCUUCCUCCUCUUCCCCAAACACACUGAUAAGUCCUCCAUGCCUCUAUGACCUUUGCACUUGCAUAACCACAAAUGACAGAUACCACUAAAUGAUCUCUGCUCAAAUGUUACCUCCUCAAAGCAGUCAUUCUAAAAUAGUGUGCAUGCACACACACAUAUACACCCUCUAUCACACUGACCUGUUUUAUUGUCUGCAUAAAACCUGUCACUAUCUAAAAAUAUCUGGCUUACUUACUUGUUUACUUGGAUUUUGGCCACUAGCUCCAUAUUGGCUAGCACUCCUAGAAGGAAGAUAACUUUGGCAGCAGAAUGGGAAGAAGAUUGGAUGGGAGACAGAUCAAAGGCUGGGAGACUCUAAGAGGCUGUUGCAGUAUAGUCCAGGUUUGUCUGCCAGUGGAGCCCAUGUUUCCACCACUGUCCUACAUGGCCUCUCCUCACGAAUGGCUCCAACCUCCUGGAUGCGAUGGAUGAAGCCGGGUGCAGAGAUGGAAAGAGCAGCCCAACUUUCCUAACUGGAGGACUGAAGCGAGAGCUCUCACUGUCGGCCUAGUGUGGAUUGACUCCUUUCCACCACAUUCCCCAACCAAGGACAGUCUAUACCAAGCUCACGGCACUGAGGCGCUGGGGGAGGGCCAGCCCACACCUAGCCCCGUCAAUCUUGGUGGCAUGGACUCCCUCCUAAAGCUUUCUCAGGAGGCCCCAUUUCCUACUGCAGCGGGGCAAGAAUUCAGGAGGAGCCCACUCAAAGGGGAGACAGAGGCAGUGCUCCCUGUGAGCAGCUCUUCCUCCCCAGAGCUGUCAUGGACAAUUGGAGAGAAAAACCGGGACAUUCUCCCCCACCAGGAUAUUUUGUAUGCUUUGCACUUACUGCUGCGUUCCCUUCAUCUAAAAGCUCUAAAAUUUCAAAUAAAAAGGUACAAUGAAAGCA